rnacentral:rRNA from 1 species
GACGAACGCUGGCGGCGUGCUUAACACAUGCCAGUCGAACGGAAAGGCCCCUUUGGGGGUACUCGAGAGGCGAACGGGUGAGUAACACGUGAGUAACCUGCCCUUGACUUCGGGAUAACUUCAGGAAACUGGGGCUAAUACCGGAUAGGAAUCCUUGCUGCAUGGUGGGGGUUGGAAAGCUUCGGCGGUUUUGGAUGGACUCGCGGCUUAUCAGCUUGUUGGUGGGGUAGUGGCUUACCAAGGCUUUGACGGGUAGCCGGCCUGAGAGGGCGACCGGCCACAUUGGGACUGAGAUACGGCCCAGACUCCGACGGGAGGCAGCAGUGGGGAAUAUUGCACAAUGGGCGGAAGCCUGAUGCAGCAACGCCGCGUGCGGGAUGACGGCCUUCGGGUUGUAAACCGCUUUCAGCAGGGGCGAAGCUUGUGGUGACGGUACCUGCAGAAGAAGCACCGGCUAACUACGUG